CCUACGGGAGGCAGCAGUGAGGAAUAUUGGUCAAUGGGCUUACGCCUGAACCAGCCAAGUCGCGUGAGGGAAGACUGCCCUAUGGGUUGUAAACCUCUUUUGUCAGGGAGCAACGCCGGCUACGUGUAGCCGGACUGAGAGUACCUGAAGAAAAAGCAUCGGCUAACUCCGUGCAAGCAGCCGCGGUAAUACGGAGGAUGCGAGCGUUAUCCGGAUUUAUUGGGUUUAAAGGGUGCGUAGGCGGAAUGCCAAGUCAGCGGUAAAAUCGCGGGGCUCAACCUCGCUCUGCCGUUGAAACUGGCGUUCUUGAGUGGGCGAGAGGUAGGCGGAAUGCGUGGUGUAGUGGUGAAAUGCGUAGAUAUCACGCAGAACUCCGAUUGCGAAGGCAGCAUACCGGCGCACAACUGACGCUGAAGCACGAAAGCGUGGGUAUCGAACAGGAUUAGAUACCCGUGUAGUC
rnacentral:rRNA from 1 species